GUGCUCACUUCAACAGCACAUAUACUCAAAUUGGAACAAUACAGAGAAAAUUAGCAUGGUCCCCGUGCAAGAAUGGCAUGCAAAUUCACGAAGCGUUCCAUAUUUUU
rnacentral:snRNA from 1 species